AAGUGAGGUGUGAAAGCCCCGGGCUUAACCUGGGAAUAGCAUUUCAGACUGGGUAACUAGAGUACUUUAGGGAGGGGUAGAAUUCCACGUGUAGCGGUGAAAUGCGUAGAGAUGUGGAGGAAUACCGAAGGCGAAGGCAGCCCCUUGGGAAUGUACUGACGCUCAUGUGCGAAAGCGUGGGGAGCAAACAGGAUUAGAUACCUGGUAGUCCA
rnacentral:rRNA from 1 species